GACGAACGCUGGCGGCGUGCCUAAUACGUGCAAGUAGAACGCUGAAGCGAGGAGCUUGCUCUUCUUGGAUGAGUUGCGAACGGGUGAGUAACGCGUAGGUAACCUGCCUUGUAGCGGGGGAUAACUAUGGGAAACGAUAGCUAAUACCGCAUAACAAUGGAUGACACAUGUCAUUUAUUUGAAAGAGGCAAUUGCUCCACUACAAGAUGGACCUGCGUUGUAUUAGCUAGUAGGUGAGGUAAUGGCUCACCUAGGCGACGAUACAUAGCCGACCUGAGAGGGUGGUCGGCCACACUGGGACUGGGACCCGGCCCAGACUCCUUCGGGAGGCAGCCGUAGGGAAUCUUCGGCAAUUGGGGCAACCCUGACCGAGCAACGCCGCGUGGGUGAAGAAGGUUUUCGGAUCGUAAAGCUCUGUUGUAAGUCAAGAACGGGUGUGAGAGUGGAAAGUUCACACUGUGACGGUAGCUUACCAGAAAGGGACGGCUAACUACGUG
rnacentral:rRNA from 1 species